AACCUUUACUAUAGCUUGACACUGAACAUUGAGCCUUGAUGUGUAGGAUAGGUGGGAGGCUUUGAAGUGUGGACGCCAGUCUGCAUGGAGCCGACCUUGAAAUACCACCCUUUAAUGUUUGAUGUUCUAACGUGGACCCGUAAUCCGGGUUGCGGACAGUGUCUGGUGGGUAGUUUGACUGGGGCGGUCUCCUCCUAAAGAGUAACGGAGGAGCACGAAGGUUGGCUAAUCCUGGUCGGACAUCAGGAGGUUAGUGCAAUGGCAUAAGCCAGCUUGACUGCGAGCGUGACGGCGCGAGCAGGUGCGAAAGCAGGUCAUAGUGAUCCGGUGGUUCUGAAUGGAAGGGCCAUCGCUCAACGGAUAAAAGGUACUCCGGGGAUAACAGGCUGAUACCGCCCAAGAGUUCAUAUCGACGGCGGUGUUUGGCACCUCGAUGUCGGCUCAUCACAUCCUGGGGCUGAAGUAGGUCCCAAGGGUAUGGCUGUUCGCCAUUUAAAGUGGUACGCGAGCUGGGUUUAGAACGUCGUGAGACAGUUCGGUCCCUAUCUGCCGUGGGCGCUGGAGAACUGAGGGGGGCUGCUCCUAGUACGAGAGGACCGGAGUGGACGCAUCACUGGUGUUCGGGUUGUCAUGCCAAUGGCACUGCCCGGUAGCUAAAUGCGGAAGAGAUAAGUGCUGAAAGCAUCUAAGCACGAAACUUGCCCCGAGAUGAGUUCUCCCUGACUCCUUGAGAGUCCUGAAGGAACGUUGAAGACGACGACGUUGAUAGGCCGGGUGUGUAAGCGCAGCGAUGCGUUGAGCUAACCGGUACUAAUGAACCGUGAGGCUUAACCUUACAACGCCGAAGGUGUUU
rnacentral:rRNA from 1 species